AGAGUUUGAUCAUGGCUCAGAAUGAACGUUGGCGGCGUGGAUUAGGCAUGCGAGUCGCGCGAGAAUGUAGCAAUACAGGAAAGCGGCGAAAGGGAGAGGACAACAUGGGAAUCUGCCCGGGGGACGAGGAUAGCGUCGGGAAACUGACGGUAAUACUCGAUAAUGUUUGCGGACCAAAGGUGAGAUUCCGCCCCUGGAUGAGCCCAUGCCCCAUUAGCUUGUUGGCGGUGUAAUAGACCACCAAGGCGAUGAUGGGUAGCUGGUGUGAGAGCACGACCAGCCUCACUGGCACUGAGACACUGGCCAGACACCUACGGGUGGCUGCAGUCGAGAAUCUUCGGCAAUGGACGAAAGUCUGACCGAGCGACGCCGCGUGCGGGACGAAGGCCUUCGGGUUGUAAACCGCUGUCGUAGAGGAUCAAAGGUAAUUGGGUUCUCCCUUUUAUUUGAGUGAUUCUAGGAGGAAGGAGAGGCUAAGCUCGUG
rnacentral:rRNA from 1 species